rnacentral:rRNA from 1 species
AGGGCACCCCCCGGAGUGGAGCCCGCGGCUUAAUUUGACUCAACACGGGAAAACUCACCCGGCCCGGACACUGGAAGGAUUGACAGAUUGAGAGCUCUUUCUUGAUUCAGUGGGUGGAGGUGCAUGGCCGUUCUUAGUUGGUGGAGUGAUUUUUAUGGUUAAUUCCGAUAACGAACGAGAAUCUAGCCUAUUAAAUAGAUCGUUGGCUCACAAACGCCGGCGAGAAUACUUAGAGGGACAGGGGGCGAUCCUCCCGCUCGAAAAUAAGAAAUAAAAGGCCGGGGAGGCCCUUAAAUGCCCGGGGCCGCACGCGCGUUCGCUUGAAGUGAUCGCGGGGCAUUUUGAAACCUAUCUUGUCAAGAGGGGGGAACCAAAUGAACCUUCUUCGUGAUGGGGAAAGGGGAUGGUAAUUAUCCCCCUUUUGAACGAGGAAUUCCCAGUAAGCGAGAAUCAUAAUUUUUGCGCUGAUCACCUCCCUGCCCUGUGCACACGCCGCCCGUCUCUACUACCGAUAGAAUG